rnacentral:rRNA from 1 species
AGAAUCAACGCUGGCGGCGUGCCUAACACAUGCAAGUCGAACGAGAAAGUGGAGCAAUCCAUGAGUAAAGUGGCGACCGGGUGAGUAACACGUGACUAACCUACCCUAGAGUGGGGAAUAACUUCGGGAAACCGAGGCUAAUACCGCAUAACAUCGCAGAGGGAAGCUCUUUGCGAUCAAAGGAGCAAUUCGCUCAAGGAGGGGGUCGCGGCUGAUUAGUUAGUUGGUGAGGUAACGGCUCACCAAGACAAAGAUCAGUAUCCGGCCUGAGAGGGCGCACGGACACACUGGAACUGAAACACGGUCCAGACUCCUACGGGAGGCAGCAGUGGGGAAUUUUGCGCAAUGGGGAAACCCUGACGCAGCAACGCCGCGUGGAGAUGAAGUCCCUUGGGAUGUAAACUCCUUUCGAUCGGGACGAUUAUGACGGUACCGGAAGAAGAAGCACCGGCUAACUCUGCGCCAGCAGCCGCGGUAA